CUUAGUAGGAUUUGUCAUUCACAAAUUCUCCACGGAUUGUGUUGAAUUUAACAUAUCAUUGUGAGCGAGCUCAGUGGCAGUCUUUCAUGGAAGGCGUGAGGAGCUGAUGAGACAUCCAGAAUGUGCAGCAUUCUGAGGAUCCUCCAGGAUCAGGAGCCACUGUGCCAAUCCAUGGAUGCCAGACAACAGCUGAAAUAAUGUGAAUGUUUCUGGAACUGUACAGCUCACAUGCAUAUUUAAAGAGGAGCCAGAAGACUUCGAAAACUUGUACGGACAUGACACGAUCACAGCGCGGUCGCAUUCACGCUCGCAGAAGACCUUCAUUUGAGGAGUCACCUUUAGAACGCUGGGUCAGAGUAGCGAGACGUGAAAAGUCAUAUAACGUGUAUGCAAUUAAUUAUGUUAACAUAUGAACUGAUUGAUUUUCACAGCAGGUUGUCUGGAAAACUGAGGUUUAUUUUAUGUGCUUUGGCAAUUAUGUCCUGUUAUGGAGCUGUACGGAAUUGAGAGAUAUUCUGAAGUAACGUUAAUCUAACCAUAUGUUCAAGGUUAUCUCAUGAAUUGGUCUGUUAAAAGUUUUACCUGUGGCAUAUAACACUUGUUUCGGCUUUAAUCAUUCAACUUCGGGGAGCCAGAACGAGGUGCGGGAAAAAGAGAUAGAUAAAAGAUUCUAUGACUUCAUCCAUGCCUGUAGGGGGGAAAAAGAGAGGGGCGAAAUUCAGGUCUACCUUUUCACACAGGAAAGGAAACUUUUCCAUUCUUCUGUGUUGGUGGAGUUUGUUUCCU